rnacentral:rRNA from 1 species
UACGAACCGUCCAAACGUUAUUCGGAAUUACUGGGCUUAAAGGGUACGUAGGCGGCGCCAUCAGUCGGGUGUGAAAUCCCACGGCUCAACCGUGGAACUGCGCCCGAUACUGUGGUGCUUGAGGGAGACAGAGGUAAGCGGAACUGAUGGUGGAGCGGUGAAAUGCGUUGAUAUCAUCAGGAACACCAGUGGCGAAAGCUGCUUACUGGGUCUCUUCUGACGCUGAGGUACGAAAGCUAGGGGAGCGAAGGGG